AGCAGCAUGGCGCAGUCUGGAAGCGCGCGGGGCCCAUAUUUCGCGACCAACCCCGAGGUCACUCGAUCGAAACGAGUUGCUGCUA